AGAAUCAACGCUGGCGGCGUGCCUAACACAUGCAAGUCGAACGAGAAAGGGUAGCAAUACCUGAGUAAAGUGGCGCACGGGUGAGUAACACGUGACUAACCUACCUUUUAGUGGGGGAUAACCUAGGGAAACCUGGGCUAAUACCGCAUAAUACCUACGGGUCAAAGCAGCAAUGCGCUGAAAGAGGGGGUCGCGGUCGAUUAGUUAGUUGGCAGGGUAAUGGCCUACCAAGACUGUGAUCGAUA
rnacentral:rRNA from 1 species